rnacentral:lncRNA from 1 species
CCGGGCCCCAGGAGCACCCCCCGGGACCAGGACCCCCCAAGGGCAAGCCCCCGGGCCAAGCCCCCCGGGACGCAUCCCCCACCCCCGCCCGGGACCCGGCCACGGCCCAGCAGGACCGCACAGCCCCGGACAGCCCACGGCCAGCAGCCCAGGGCCCGCCGCCCCCCGGACAGCGCCAGCCACGGAGCAGCGCCCCCCGCCGGCCCGCGAGCAACCGGCGAUCCCCACCGCGGGGACGGAGGCACCCCAACGGCACACAUCAAGUGCGGGACAGCAGCCCCCCAGCCAAAGAUGCCCCGGACCCACCCACCAGUCCGCAAACGGCAGGAUAGACCCACCAGGCGGCCGACAGCAACCUCCACCACCGGAACAGCUAGCGCCGCCCCCCAGUAAACAGCAUCACCCCGAGGCGCCAAGCAACCCCGCCCCAACCCCGGCGAGGACACCAGCACCCCCCCAGCACACCCACCCCCCAAACCGGCGAGGCAGGCCGCCCCGGGCCCGCACACCGCGGGGCCCGCCCCCAAGGCCACCAGGAGACAAAGCAAGCACCAAGCCACACCCAAGGGGGAGAGGCACCCCCGCGCCCCACCCGGCCGACACAGCCCGGAAAGACCCCGCAAGGAGAGACCCCGGCAAAGCCCCCCCGAGACCCACCGCCACGCCCGACCGCACCAUCUUGAUGUGCUUUUGCUCUAUGCAGUGGCCCAGCCACCAACAGAGGGGCCAGGCCCCCCCCGGAGAGGCCCAAAUAUGUGUACCAACCCACCACCCUGUUAUGGUGCCUCUCCAUUCCCCAAUGGAGAGGCACUUCCCGAUCCCCUGUGUGAAUGUGUGUGUUUGGUGAAUGUAUGGGGUGUAAUUAAAAGAAGGGGGAUGGAGGGGAGCGGUGCUCCCCCUCCAGCCUCUGUGGAUUUAUGUGUAUGUGGUGUAAUAGGCCGGAGGGUGUAAAAGAUGAUACACCCUCCGGGGGGUGACAUGUUGAGAUGCGAUUAAAAUUGGAGGGAUUAGUAGGGCAACUAGAGGUGGGAGGGCCGCCCCCACGCCACUACAUAGUAACACAGGUGGCGGCCCCCUCCACCCCCAGCCCCACCAUCCAGCCCCCCAAGGGUUGGGUAUUGGUGUGUGGUGCAUUUUGUGAGUGAGCCAGACCAGCUGGGAGUGGGG